GGUGGAGGAUGGCCUAGAGUCUGGAGCUGCAGAAGAGGCAGGGCGGAGAGGAGGGGAAAGAAGCAUCUGAACGGCUAAAUUGUGCCAGCAGCGCUGAGAGCGAGAGUCGCGAGACCGUGCUGAGGACGUGGUUGUCUGUCCUUCCCCCGGGGAUGCCGUUGACUGCGGCCGUCUCAGGCUUGCGUGGCUUCUCUCUGCCCGGCGUUGCCAUCCUCGCAGCGCGGGGGCGAAAAGGGACACACAGAGCCCUUCCCGGCUGUGGACAGGAGCUGCCUCGGCUGAAGCUGGAGACGCCAACGAAAGGUGGAGAACGGCCUAGAGUCUGGAGCUGCAGAAGAGGCAGGGCGGAGAGGAGGGGAAAGAAGCAUCUGAACGGCUAAAUUGUGCCAGCAGCGCUGAGAGCGAGAGUCGCGGUGGAGGACGGCCUAGAGUCUGGAGCUGCAGAAGAGGCAGGGCGGAGAGGAGGGGAAAGAAGCAUCUGAACGGCUAAAUUGUGCCAGCAGCGCUGAGAGCGAGAGUCGCGGUGGAGGACGGCCUAGAGUCUGGAGCUGCAGAAGAGGCAGGGCGGAGAGGAGGGGAAAGAAGCAUCUGAACGGCUAAAUUGUGCCAGCAGCGCUGAGAGCGAGAGUCGCGGUGGAGGACGGCCUAGAGUCUGGAGCUGCAGAAGAGGCAGGGCGGAGAGGAGGGGAAAGAAGCAUCUGAACGGCUAAAUUGUGCCAGCAGCGCUGAGAGCGAGAGUCGCGGUGGAGGACGGCCUAGAGUCUGGAGCUGCAGAAGAGGCAGGGCGGAGAGGAGGGGAAAGAAGCAUCUGAACGGCUAAAUUGUGCCAGCAGCGCUGAGAGCGAGAGUCGCGGUGAGUCCUGGGCCACUGGGGCCCCGUUGCCUCUCUUGUGCGUCCUGGGCCC